GAUGAACGCUGGCGGCGUGCCUAAUACAUGCAAGUCGAGCGAACGGACGAGAAGCUUACUUCUCUGAUGUUAGCGGCGGACGGGUGAGUAACACGUGGAUAACCUACCUAUAAGACUGGGAUAACUUCGGGAAACCGGAGCUAAUACCAGAUAAUAUUUUGAACCGCAUGGUUCAAAAGUGAAAGACGGUCUUGCUGUCACUUAUAGAUGGAUCCGCGCUGCAUUAGCUAGUUGGUAAGGUAACGGCUUACCAAGGCAACGAUGCAUAGCCGACCUGAGAGGGUGAUCGGCCACACUGGAACUGAGACACGGUCCCGACUCCUACGGGAGGCAGCAGUAGGGAAUCUUCCGCAAUGGGCGAGAGCCUGACGGAGCAACGCCGCGUGAGUGAUGAAGGUCUUCGGAUCGUAAAACUCUGUUAUUAGGGAAGAACAUAUGUGUAAGUAACUGUGCACAUCUUGACGGUACCUAAUCAGAAAGCCACGGCUAACUACGUG
rnacentral:rRNA from 1 species